ensembl:piRNA 21ur-3144 ncRNA
UGACAAAUUCAAUGGGUUAAC